GAAAGAUUUAUCGCUUUAAGAUUGGCCCGCGGAAGAUUAGGUAGUUGGUGGGGUAAAGGCCUACCAAGCCGACGAUCUAUAGCUGGUCUGAGAGGACGAACAGCCACAUUGGAACUGAGACACGGUCCAGACUCCUACGGGAGGCAGCAGUGAGGAAUAUUGGGCAAUGGAGGAAACUCUGACCCAGCCAUGCCGCGUGAGUGAAGAAGGUUUUCGAAUUGUAAAGCUCUUUCGGAUGUGAAGAUGAUGACGGUAACAUCUAAAGAAGCCCCGGCAAACUUCGUGCCAGCAGCCGCGGUAAUACGAAGGGGGCAAGCGUUGUUCGGAAUUACUGGGCGUAAAGGGUGUGUAGGCGGGAAAGUAAGAUAGUGGUGAAAUGCCUGAGCUCAACUUGGGAACUGCCAUUAUAACUAUUUUUCUAGAGUGACAGAGAGGAUAUUGGAAUACCCAGUGUAGAGGUGAAAUUCGUAGAUAUUGGGUAGAACACCGGAGGCGAAGGCGAGUAUCUGGCUGUCAACUGACGCUGAGGCACGAAAGCAUGGGGAUCAAACAGGAUUAGAUACCCUGGUAGUCCAUGCUGUAAACGAUGAAUGCUAGUUGUCGGCGAAUGUCG
rnacentral:rRNA from 1 species